rnacentral:rRNA from 1 species
UACGGAGGGUGCGAGCGUUAAUCGGAAUUACUGGGCGUAAAGCGCGCGUAGGCGGUUUGUUAAGUCAGCUGUGAAAGCCCCGGGCUCAACCUGGGAACUGCAGUUGAUACUGGCCGACUGGAGUACGAGAGAGGGGGGUAGAAUUCCAUGUGUAGCGGUGAAAUGCGCAGAUAUCAGGAAGAACACCAAUGGCGAAGGCAGCUCUCUGGGACGGUACUGACGCUGAGACGCGAAAGCGUGGGGAGCGAACAGG